UCCGCAUUGGUCUAGUGGCAUUGAUUUUUCGUUCUCACCGAGAAGGCCGGGGUUCGAUUCCCCGAUGCGGAA